rnacentral:rRNA from 1 species
UACGUAGGGGGCUAGCGUUGUCCGGAUUUAUUGGGCGUAAAGAGCGUGUAGGCGGCCUGGUAGGUCUGCUGUGAAAACUCGAGGCUCAACCUCGAGAUGUCGGCGGAAACCAUCUGGCUAGAGUCCGGAAGAGGAGAGUGGAAUUCCUGGUGUAGCGGUGAAAUGCGCAGAUAUCAGGAAGAACACCUAUGGCGAAGGCAGCUCUCUGGGACGGUACUGACGCUGAGACGCGAAAGCGUGGGGAGCGAACCGG